UUAAAAACUAAUAGCUACCUAUUACCUGCUAUAUGUUGUGCCAACGAAAAGGCCCGAACUCAGCUUAAUGUUGUGGGUACA